UACAGAGGGUGGCGAGCGUUAAUCGGAAUUACUGGGCGUAAAGCGCGCGUAGACGGUUUUGUAAGUCAGAUGUGGAAAUCCCCGUGGGCUUCAAACCUGGGAACUGCAUUUGAGACUGCAUGGCUAGAGUAUGGAAGAGGGAAGUGGAAUUUCCGGUGUAGCGGUGAAAUGCGUAGAUAUCGGAAGGAACACCAGUGGCGAAAGCGACUUCCUGGUCCAAUACUGACGUUCAUGUGCGAAAGCGUUGGGGAGCAAACAGG
rnacentral:rRNA from 1 species